AGUCCUUGGCUUAGUGUAAGCACUGCUCUGCAGCAAUUAAAACAUCAGCAUGUUAUCAGCACUCUUCUCAUCUUAAUCCAAAACAUAGCACCCUGCCAGCUACUAGGAGGAAAAUUAACUCUGUUCUAACUGAAGCCAGGACAUAAACACAAUAAAGUGUUUUAA